AAACCAUGUAUGAAGUCUCCAUAGUGGUCCUAGGCUGGUGCGUAGGUUGGAAAUUUUUUGUUUUCUGCUGCGUUCCCCUACACAGAGAUAAGCCAUUUUGCUCGCCCCUGGGGCACGCCGCUGAUGUUCUUGAUCUAUCAUGGUCCAAAUCUCAGAUACAGACUCUCUCCGACAUUUAAUGAAUAAAAUAGCCAACUGCUUAAUCUUACUUUUUUGGCACUUUUGUUAGACAUUCUAAAAAAAUUAGAAUCAAUAGUUGCACUGCAAUCUUCUUCAGAACAAAACCGAAUGGUAAUUUUCAGUUUUAAUGGUGUAUAAUACGGCUGUAAGGACCGUGAUCAUCAAAACUCUCAUGUACUAUAGGGAAAACAUGACACUUCCAAGUUCUAACUUUUAUCACUUGGCUGCACUAAUUGGGCAAUAGGCCUGAUCUAUGUAAGAAAUUAGUUUUAUUUGCCCAUGAUACUGCUGAAAAACCUGUUCACUUCAAAUAGUAAAUCAUAGCCUGUCAUUAUUCAAGAGGUAAACUGAGGAAAAGAAAGUAUCAAGAAAGCAACCAUCGUGUAUAUAUCUUAGUAUAUAUUUGCCCAUCGUUCUACAAGAUGCUAAUCGCUUCAGCUUUGGGUUAACUUGUUGGCUGGCUCCUGAAACUGAGCACAUGUUGGUAUUUCAUUGUUGUACUGGUGUAUGCAAGGGUUAUUUUCGUGCAGAGGUUUUGAACUGUGAUUUCCUUCUCUUUCAAGCCUAAAGCAUUCAACUGAUAAUUUCAGGCAGGCAUUUCAAUUUUCUGUCAUGCUUCUAGAUAUCAAACGUGGUUGAGAAAGUUCCAUUUUUAAAAGGGGCUGGAGCUCCAUGGCUUACAGAUCUAACGACCCCUGAUGCUCUUUGCAUAUUUCCCAUGAUAACAUCACUCUUCGUCAUGCUUCCCUUUGAGGUGUGUGUUCAAUUCUUUUUACCUAAAUGUAUGUUUGUUCUUGGGCUACAAAAUUUGAGAUGCCAUUUAUUGCAUCCUUCAACUAUUUUUCCUGCUGAACCUGCCGGCUCGACCCAGGAGCGGCAGGUGCAGAUGCGUGUGCGAGGAGCGCCAUCAGUCGACCGGCGUUCUUUCUUCGUUAGGAAGGGUGCAGCCUGCUACUCAAGCCCCUCUCCUUCGCUCCUUGAAGAGCAGGAGAGGCAUGGGCACCACCACACUGGAGAGAUGGACGAGGACAUGAAGCUUUCAUGGAGAGGACGAGGUGGCCGCCGCUGCACCCACACGCCACGGACGCCGAGAUUCCCAUCAUCUCUGCCCUUGAUAACCACUUCGGCGGCGCCAUGAACGGCACCAAUCGCCUCUUCUCGGCAGGCGCAGACCGCAUGGUCGUCUUCCUCUCCAGCUUCUUCUACACCAUCAGACUCAGACCCUCUCCUGCUCCCUCUCCCUCUGCAUCUCUGUAAAAAUAUGCUUAGGUCAACUAGGAGAUGAUGCAAGCCAAGGCGCUCACACCGAUUUAAGAUGGUGUGGGUGAUCAAUAGAAGACAAAUGAAUACACUGAUGGAAGGCCAUGUCAAAAUGACAGCUGUUAAACAAGAGGUAGACACAGCCAGUGAUACCAGCGGUGGCCAAUUACCCAUGACGAACCACUGUGUCAGAAGCACAAUAAGCCGAGUAUAUUCAUUGCCCAUGCAAAGCAAACUCGAAUCCAAAAGUUCAAAGGCAAGAAAAUCCAUGUAAAGCCUAGAAAGUAUAUUCUCCGUGGUGAGCCUUGCAUCCACUACUUAGAUGAGUUUAGUCACCACAUUGCGUGGGGCAACACAGUUAAGCUCUAUAACCAUAAUGUUCGUACACUGUGAAAGAUCAUCUGCAGCACCACCACGCCUGAUAACUACUAUGUGUGCCACAUGACAGAAACAUUUACAACAGAAGGCAAAAGCAUGUACUUUAGCGUUCCCUUUCUACGGGUUCCUUUUUCCCACACAUGGAUGCUGACCAUGGUGAACUGUCAAUCACUAUUGAAGACGAAACUACGCUGUCACGACCCCCUUUAUCAAGGGUGUUGACAAAAGGGCCACCAUCACUAAAGGCUGGAGCGACUUCUUCCGUCAGGCACACAUGAACGAAGGGCAAGUAUAUGCUUUCGCCUUCAAAUGCACUUCCAAGGGACUCUGCGUGAUCGUCUACUCAAUAUAAGCAAGUUGCAAGAGGGACACGGACUAAUUGUGCUCGAGCACAAAUGGACUCGUUAUCUGGGCGGUUCAUUAUAGCGUUGGGAUGCGAUGGGAUUCACUUCGUGGGCCAUGUCACGUGGGCCGUGAACCCUGGACGGUGGGCCAUGUUUGUGACGGAGCUAGAACGCCGUGGACACCUCGAAGCCGAGUCGUGGCCCAUGACGUCAUGUCCUUUCCGAUCCGUGGCCCGGGAAACUUGCUUUCCGGUUACCUCCGCCGCCGCCUGGAUUAGUCACUUGCGGAAGCGGCGGAGCUCAGCGGCGAUUCUCGUGCGCGAGGAGGGCUGAGCGGAACCGGCGAAAGAUGGAGUUCCUUAUGCAGAUUAAGAGGGCCACCGUGCUGGAACCUGGAAGAGGUGAACGACAGCGAUAUUCAGUUGGAGCCGCUGCACUACUCGGUGGCGCGGCCGAUUGAGGAGCCGCUGGCGCCUAUGGUGGAGGUGAAUGCGGACGGCCAGAUCUGUGCGGCGGAAGGGGCGACGGAUGUAGUCCGAGAAGGGUCGCCGAGAGCGUUGGAGCACUCCAUUGGACAGAUCGACCCUAGAGCUCCUGGGUGGAAAAGAAGAGUGAGGGUAGGUGCUGCUCCGCCGGGAAAGACGCCAUGUCCUAAUCGGACUACUGCUCUGGAGAAGACUAUCUGUGGUUUUGCCAACAAUGCUGGGCAGUGGCGGAGCUACACAAAAAUAGUUGGGCGGGCGAGGCAAACAAGUGCACGUUUUUUUUCAAAAUUACGAUGAAUCGUGCUACUUCAUUAGACAUGAGUCAGUUCUCAAUAAUUUUUUAACUAGAUCAGCAAAUAUAUACGCACGGCAAGACCGUCGUCGCUUGGGUGUGCGAAUGUGCGGUGGAUGAUGUUGGCCAGCUAGUGGCCGCUGAUGCUUGCUGUGCCGCCGCUGCUUGGCUGCUCCUUGUGGCCAAUAAUUACUGCUCCAUUCCUGGCGUCGUGCGAAUCUCUCACUAAAUGGAGCGUAAUGGGGAUUAGGGGCCUAGGUGGUGUCUGCCAGUAGACCAGGCUUAUGAGCUACCAAUGCGUAUGAAAGAAAAAACAUACAGAUCCUGGGCAGGCCACGGCCACUUUGGCCUUGCCGUAGCUCCGCCACUGAUCCUGGGGAUAAUGUCAUAGUGGCAACUUUGGGUGCAAGCUUUGAUUCUCUUGGUGAAGCCUACGAUUCCUACGACUUGUAUUCGUGGGAGAAAGGAUCUGACAUAAGAUACGGCAAGAGUAGGCUAAAUGUGGAGAGGACAAAAUGCAUGCAGGAGAUUGUUUGUGGUUGUGCGGGGAAGGCGGGGGUUGAGAACACAUGGCCGUGCCGUUGUGAAUGCCCUGCUCUCAUCAGGUUGUUGUGGUCCAAGGCCAAUGGCUAGUACAUAGCAGAACACUCUGAGGAGCACAACCGCUUGGACCGGAAGACAUGAUUGCCGAAAAUGGUGAUGUCAUGAACCAAAUUCAGACUGAAUGGGCACUUGUUGUUACUGGGGACAGAUGAAAAAAUAGCCUUCACAACGAUGAUGUUAAUUCAGCAGAUGACUCUGGGAACAGAUUGGCAGGACUAUUGACACAGGCAAAAAGGAAUGAGAUGGGCAGGCCUACGACCAGCAGAGAGAAAGCGACUUACGAUGGGUUGAGCAAGAGGACCAGGUUCUGCACCAUUUGCUGGCAACAGGGGCACAAAAGGACUACGUGCCCAGACCGCGGAGAUGUACCAAAGCAGGUUAGAAGUCCUGCUCGAUGCAAGAACUGUGGAGUCAAAGGUCACACUCACCGGCGGAACAAUUGCAACGAAGCAGCAGAGCUACGUCUGAAAGUGAGACUGAAAAAAUAGGGAUGUACCUGAGACAGUACUUGCAUGGUUAGGAUAUAUGGUGUAUGCGUAUGACAAUUUCCAGAUAGUGCGGACUGAUUUGUUGUAGCCUGUGUCUCGUGGUAAAGAUUUAAAAUUUCCUUUGCAUGUGUAGAUCGACAAGUGUGUCUCAAUGUAUUCCUUGAACUUCCUGUGCGGAACUUGUCUGAAUAAAUAGUUUGUGGUCC